GACAGGGGAUACAAGCGUUACUCGGAAUCACUGGGCGUAAAGCGUCUGUAGGCUUUUCAGAAAGUCUGAGGUCAAAUGUCGGGGCUCAACCCCGUCAACGUCUUGGAAACUACUGAGAUUGAGCAUUGGAGAGGUACCUGGAAUGCCAUGUGUAGGAGUAAAAUCCGUAGAUAUAUGGUAGAACGCCUAAAGUGAAGACAGGGUACUAGCCAAUCGCUGACGCUGAGAGACGAAAGCGUGGGGAGCAAAGGGG
rnacentral:rRNA from 1 species